rnacentral:lncRNA from 1 species
CAGAGGAUAAAAUCACUGUUCAAAAAAUGCAUGCUUCUUUGUGAUUUGGUCUCAGCCUCAUCUUUCAUCACCAUUUGCUUUAUCCCAGAUGUUUUAAAGAACUUAGAGUUUCCUACAAGGACCAUGUUCUUUCUGGCUCCCUGCCUUUGAAGAUACUGUUUUCCUCCUUUUACUAUUGCUUCAUCCCCUCCUUCCCUUUCACCUUAAAACUUAUAUAAGAUGUAAUUUCAGUGACACUUUUUUUUUUUUUUUAGAAAUGAGCCAGGAUUUCCAUUGGAUUAGUCCAAGAAGGGAGAAAUUUUUAUACUUCAUUGGCCUAGUAUUUUAUCAGUCUUUUAUUAUAGCACUUCCAUGGCAAAAUCUUAUUGUUUUACAUAUGGUUAUUACAUUAAACUGGAGAGCAAAAGAAAGUAUGUUUUAUUUACCGUGGGGUUUCCAGCUCCCUGCAAGAUGCUAGGUAUGUUAUGAGUACUUAACAGUGGUUUAACUAUUUAGCAAAGGCCUAUUUCGUCCCUUCCUCCUGAGUAACUUUUGCAUCAUAUAUACUCUGACCAACACUGUCAAUCCGAUAGGAAAAGGAAAGUGAUCUUAACAUUAAUUCCUGGUUUGAUUUGGAGUACUAUAUUAAAAGUUUUGCGCUAGAAUUCUCUUCUGGCCUUCUUGUAGUGACAUAAGUACUAAAAUUAACCCAGUGCAAAUGUUCCAUAAAUCCCAACUAUCAUUAAU